GACAGAGGACGCAAGCGUUGUUCGGAAUAACUGGGCGUAAAGUGCGCGUAGACGGUUAGUUAAGUCAAUUGUUAAAUACCAGGGCUCAACCUUGGGAGUGCAAUUGAUACUGACUAACUUCGAGUUCGGGAGAGGAAAGCGGAAUUCCUAGUGGAGAGGUAAAAUUCAUAGAUAUUAGGAGGAACACCAGAGGUGAAGACGGCUUUCUAGAACGUUACUGACGUUGUUAGCGCGAAAGCGUGGGGAGCAAACAGG
rnacentral:rRNA from 1 species